UACGUAGGUGUCAAGCGUUAUCCGGAAUUACUGGGCGUAAAGGGCUCGCAGGCGGUUUGACAAGUUUGACGUGAAAUCUCUCGGCUUAACUGGGAGGGGACGUUGGAGACUGUUAGACUUGAGGUAGUGAGAGGGAGGCGGAAUUCCCGGUGUAGUGGUGGAAUGCGUAGAUAUCGGGAAGAACACCAGUGGCGAAAGCGGCCUUCUGGCACUGACCUGACGCUGAGGAGCGAAAGCGUGGGUAGCGAACGGGAUUAGAUACCCCGGUAGUCCACGCUGUAAACGAUGUGAACUAGGUGUGGGGAGUAUAGACCCUCUUCGUGCCAAAGCAAACGCGAUAAGUUCACCGCCUGGGGAGUACGGCCGCAAGGCUAAA
rnacentral:rRNA from 1 species